rnacentral:rRNA from 1 species
ACGAACGCUGGCGGCGUGCCUAAUACAUGCAAGUCGAGCGGACUGAAUGGGAGCUUGCUCUUGUUCGGUCAGCGGCGGACGGGCGAGUAACACGUGGGCAACCUGCCCGCAAGACCGGGAUAACUCCGGGAAACCGGAGCUAAUACCGGAUAACACCGAAGACCGCAUGGUCUUUGGUUGAAAGGCGGCGCAAGCUGCCACUUGCGGAUGGGCCCGCGGCGCAUUAGCUAGUUGGUGAGGUAACGGCUCACCAAGGCGACGAUGCGUAGCCGGCCUGAGAGGGUGACCGGCCACACUGGGACUGAGACACGGCCCAGACUCCUACGGGAGGCAGCAGUAGGGAAUCUUCCGCAAUGGGCGAAAGCCUGACGGAGCGACGCCGCGUGAGCGAAGAAGGCCUUCGGGUCGUAAAGCUCUGUUGUGAGGGACGAAGGAGCGCCGUUUGAAGAAGGCGGCGCGGUGACGGUACCUCACGAGGAAGCCCCGGCUAACUACGUG